CGCAAUGGGCGGAGCUACACAUGCAGUCGAGCGGUAGCACAGAGAGCUUGCUCUCGGGUGACGAGCGGCGGACGGGUGAGUAAUGUCUGGGAAACUGCCUGAUGGAGGGGGAUAACUACUGGAAACGGUAGCUAAUACCGCAUAAUGUCGCAAGACCAAAGUGGGGGACCUUCGGGCCUCAUGCCAUCAGAUGUGCCCAGAUGGGAUUAGCUAGUAGGUGGGGUAACGGCUCACCUAGGCGACGAUCCCUAGCUGGUCUGAGAGGAUGACCAGCCACACUGGAACUGAGACACGGUCCAGACUCCUACGGGAGGCAGCAGUGGGGAAUAUUGCACAAUGGGCGCAAGCCUGAUGCAGCCAUGCCGCGUGUGUGAAGAAGGCCUUCGGGUUGUAAAGCACUUUCAGCGGGGAGGAAGGCGAUAAGGUUAAUAACCUUGUCGAUUGACGUUACCCGCAGAAGAAGCACCGGCUAACUCCGUGCCAGCAGCCGCGGUAAUACGGAGGGUGCAAGCGUUAAUCGGAAUUACUGGGCGUAAAGCGCACGCAGGCGGUCUGUCAAGUCGGAUGUGAAAUCCCCGGGCUCAACCUGGGAACUGCAUUCGAAACUGGCAGGCUAGAGUCUUGUAGAGGGGGGUAGAAUUCCAGGUGUAGCGGUGAAAUGCGUAGAGAUCUGGAGGAAUACCGGUGGCGAAGGCGGCCCCCUGGACAAAGACUGACGCUCAGUGCGAAAGCGUGGGGAGCAAACAGGAUUAGAUACCCUGGUAGUCCACGCCGUAAACGAUGUCGAUUUGGAGGUUGUGCCCUUGAGGCGUGGCUUCCGGAGCUAACGCGUUAAAUCGACCGCCUGGGGAGUACGGCCGCAAGGUUAAAACUCAAAUGAAUUGACGGGGGCCCGCACAAGCGGUGGAGCAUGUGGUUUAAUUCGAUGCAACGCGAAGAACCUUACCUGGUCUUGACAUCCACAGAACUUUCCAGAGAUGGAUUGGUGCCUUCGGGAACUGUGAGACAGGUGCUGCAUGGCUGUCGUCAGCUCGUGUUGUGAAAUGUUGGGUUAAGUCCCGCAACGAGCGCAACCCUUAUCCUUUGUUGCCAGCGGUUAGGCCGGGAACUCAAAGGAGACUGCCAGUGAUAAACUGGAGGAAGGUGGGGAUGACGUCAAGUCAUCAUGGCCCUUACGACCAGGGCUACACACGUGCUACAAUGGCAUAUACAAAGAGAAGCGACCUCGCGAGAGCAAGCGGACCUCAUAAAGUAUGUCGUAGUCCGGAUUGGAGUCUGCAACUCGACUCCAUGAAGUCGGAAUCGCUAGUAAUCGUAGAUCAGAAUGCUACGGUGAAUACGUUCCCGGGCCUUGUACACACCGCCCGUCACACCAUGGGAGUGGGUUGCAAAAGAAGUAGGUAGCUUAACCUUCGGGAGGGCGCUACCACUUUGUAUCCGGGC
rnacentral:rRNA from 1 species